AUUGAACGCUGGCGGAAUGCUUUACACAUGCAAGUCGAACGGUAGAGGGGGCAACCCCUCGAGAGUGGCGAACGGGUGAGUAAUAUAUCGGAACGUGCCCAGUCGUGGGGGAUAACGUAGCGAAAGUUACGCUAAUACCGCAUACGAUCUAAGGAUGAAAGCGGGGGAUCGCAAGACCUCGCGCGAUUGGAGCGGCCGAUAUCAGAUUAGGUAGUUGGUGGGGUAAAGGCUCACCAAGCCAACGAUCUGUAGCUGGUCUGAGAGGACGACCAGCCACACUGGAACUGAGACACGGUCCAGCCUGCUACGGGAGGCAGCAGUGGGGAAUUUUGGACAAUGGACGCAAGUCUGAUCCAGCCAUUCCGCGUGCAGGAUGAAGGUCCUCGGGUUGUAAACUGCUUUUGUACGGAACGAAAAGGUCUCUCUUAAUACGGGGGGCUCAUGACGGUACCGUAAGAAUAAGCACCGGCUAACUACGUGCCAGCCGCCGCUGUAA
rnacentral:rRNA from 1 species